GCUCAGGACUCUUCCAAAAGGAAGUGGGAAGUCAAUGCCUCCCCACCUACACAACGUGUUAAAUUUCAUCAAGAAGUUAGUCAAAGAAUGUCUUCCAUAAGUCAAUCUUCAAGUCAAAGAAUUAUAGCCUACUUUUUGAAGUUCUUGAAAGCAGCUGUAUCAUCCAAUUCUCCUCGCAUAUCCAGUGGGUAUGGUUCACCAUUUACCAAAGUAAAUGGGUUCAUCUCUAUAAAACUGAAAUCCAAAUCUGUAAAAGAUGCAAGGGACCAAAUCAAUGCUAACUAUGAAUCAUGAGCACAAAAAUGACACAAGGGGUUAACCAAAAAACAUAUCAACAGAUUAAGGACACUAAGUAGCAAAUAGAAAGAUCUAUUCAAAUAUCUCAUCAACAAGAAGACUUCUGUAAUAACCUAUGAACAACAGUCUACUUCUUAACAUAUGUGCAUUACCACCUUCUAUAUCUAUAUAUUGCAUAUAACAUAUUUGGAGACAAGAACAUAUAAAACAGUCUUGUGUGGGAAUCUGUUAUUAGGUGAACAUAUACAGUCAGAGAUGUUUAAUUUCCUGGCUUACCUUGGAACACAGUAAAAACUCCCUUAAUAAAGUCCCCUAUCUUCCCUCGUACCUGAGCCAAUUAAUGCAACAGGGCACCCAAGUUAUAGCAACAAUGAAGUAUCUCACCAUAAUAUAUAAUUUCUGAUGGUUACUAGUAUAAUAAGAAAAGCAAGUAAGCGAUAAUUUGAUGUAUAGCUACGAACGAGUGCACCUCACCUCCAAUGGAAGCGUUGCGAUCAAAGGAGCACAUGCCUCGCCUGUCAUAGGCUUCUCUGUAGGAAGAUAUACCGUCUUGACCUUGUCCCAGUUCUCCUCUAUUUCAAUGCCUCCACACUCUGAGAAGCUGACGGUGCAACCCAGCCUCUCUGACACAAUAGAGAGGUAGUAUUCUUGAUCGUGGGGAACAAAUGGCUCGAUUAUGAACGUGGUGAUCGGAGCCUUGCACCCUCCCAUCUCAACCUUUGAGCAAAAAGAAAGUAUAUUAGAUUCCAUCACACGGUUAUCUCAUUGCAUAAGAAGAUCAUAAAACAUCAUAGAUCACCUCCACUCCCAGACGUUCCUUGACAAACUGAGCCGCCUGAGCCAGAUCUAGGUUGAGAGCCACCAAACCGCUCUUUCCACGCUUGCCGAACAGCAUGUCGGGCUUCACGACCAACUUCAUGGACGAAAGCCAUGGUUCCUUGUUCACCAACUCAUUGAAGUCCGUCGAUUCCGUCACCUACAUCAACUCAACCAUCACGAAAAAUAGUCUGAAACCCCUCAUUUUGAGGACCAAUUUCGACCGACGCGCGACAACUAGAACGCAUUCAUCAUCCCGUCCAAAGAAAUCAGAUUCAAACUUCACAGGAAACCAUACGAAUCGAUCAUCGAGAACAUAAAACGACCAAACAACCCCGGAAACGGACGAUCGUAAGAGAUCGAUAGACCGAGGCUCUGUUAUCGAUUGGGGACGGAUGAGAGCACCUGGACGGAUCGGAUCUGGAGAUCGAUGCCGGCGAGACGCUUGAGGUGCUCCUUGAGGAGACGCUUGGAAUCGUACUCCCGGAUCUUCUUCCUGGCCAUCGCCUCCCUUCUUCGGUUCU
rnacentral:lncRNA from 1 species